rnacentral:rRNA from 1 species
AUGAUCUUCAAGUGUCGUUUCUCUGUUCGGAUUUGGAAUGCGGUCUUCUCAUGGCUUGGGCUCGCUAUCCCCACGGCCCCAUGGCUCCUGUUCGAUUCGGUGAAAUCUUGGUGGGACGCGGUCCUCUCUGAUAACACACUCCCAACGAAGGCCCUAUCUUCCCUGUUACUUCUUGUGGGAUGGGAGAUCUGGAAUGAAAGGAAUGCUCGUGUCUUUAGGAGCAAAGCAGCGCCGGUGGCGACUGUCAUGCGGCGCAUCAAAGAGGAAGUUUCUACUUAGGCCACUGCAGGCGCUAAGCAUUUGCGUAAUAUAAUGCUGCGAGAGUAA